rnacentral:rRNA from 1 species
UACACAUGCAAGUCGAACGGGAACAGGAAGAAGCUUGCUUCUUUGCUGACGAGUGGCGGACGGGUGAGUAAUGUCUGGGAAACUGCCUGAUGGAGGGGGAUAACUACUGGAAACGGUAGCUAAUACCGCAUAACGUCGCAAGACCAAAGAGGGGGACCUUCGGGCCUCUUGCCAUCGGAUGUGCCCAGAUGGGAUUAGCUAGUAGGUGGGGUAACGGCUCACCUAGGCGACGAUCCCUAGCUGGUCUGAGAGGAUGACCAGCCACACUGGAACUGAGACACGGUCCAGACUCCUACGGGAGGCAGCAGUGGGGAAUAUUGGGCAAUGGAGGAAACUCUGACCCAGCGACGCCGCGUGAGGGAUGAAGGCCUUCGGGUUGUAAACCUCUUUCAGUAGGGAAGAAGCGAAAGUGACGGUACCUACAGAAGAAGCACCGGCUAACUAUGUGCCAGCAGCCGCGGUAAUACAUAGGGUGCAAGCGUUGUCCGGAAUUAUUGGGCGUAAAGAGCUCGUAGGUGGUUCGAUACGUCGGAUGUGAAAAUCAGGGGCUCAACCCCUGACCUGCAUCCGAUACGGUCGAGCUAGAGUUUGGUAGGGGAGACUGGAAUUCCUGGUGUAGCGGUGGAAUGCGCAGAUAUCAGGAGGAACACCGAUGGCGAAGGCAGGUCUCUGGGCCAAUACUGACACUGAGGAGCGAAAGCGUGGGGAGCGAACAGGAUUAGAUACCCUGGUAGUCCACGCCGUAAACGGUGGGCGCUAGUUGUGCGAACCUUCCACGGUUUGUGCGACGCAGCUAACGCAUUAAGCGCCCCGCCUGGGGAGUACGGUCGCAAGAUA